UACGGGGGGGGCAAGCGUUGUUCGGAAUUACUGGGCGUAAAGGGCUCGUAGGCGGCCAACUAAGUCAGACGUGAAAUCCCCAGGCUCAACCUGGGAACUGCGUCUGAUACUGGAUGGCUUGAAUCCGGGAGAGGGACGCAGAAUUCCAGGUGUAGCGGUGAAAUGCGUAGAUAUCUGGAGGAAUACCGGUGGCGAAGGCGGCAUCCUGGACCGGCAUUGACGCUGAGGAGCGAAAGCCAGGGGAGCAAACGGG
rnacentral:rRNA from 1 species